CCUACGGGAGGCUGCAGUGAGGAAUAUUGGUCAAUGGACGGAAGUCUGAACCAGCCAUGCCGCGUGCAGGAAGACGGCUCUAUGAGUUGUAAACUGCUUUUGUACAAGGGUAAACCUGAAUACGUGUAUUCAGCUGAAAGUACUGUACGAAUAAGGAUCGGCUAACUCCGUGCCAGCAGCCGCGGUAAUACGGAGGAUCCAAGCGUUAUCCGGAUUUAUUGGGUUUAAAGGGUGCGUAGGCGGAUUGAUAAGUUAGAGGUGAAAUGGUCGAGCUUAACUCGGGGACUGCCUCUAAUACUGUUGAUCUAGAGAGUAGAUGCGGUAGGCGGAAUGUAUGGUGUAGCGGUGAAAUGCUUAGAGAUCAUACAGAACACCGAUUGCGAAGGCAGCUUACCAAUCUAUAUCUGACGUUGAGGCACGAAAGCGUGGGGAGCGAACAGGAUUAGAUACCCUUGUAGUC
rnacentral:rRNA from 1 species